rnacentral:rRNA from 1 species
GAUGAACGCUGGCGGCGUGCCUAAUACAUGCAAGUAGAACGCUGAAGGAGGAGCUUGCUCCUAUGGAUGAGUUGCGAAAGGGUGAGUAACGCGUAGGUAACCUGCCUGGUAGCGGGGGAUAACUAUUGGAAACGAUAGCUAAUACCGCAUGACAACAGUUAUUGCAUGAGAACUGUUUAAAAGGGGCAACUGCUCCACUACCAGAUGGACCUGCGUUGUAUUAGCUAGUGGGUGAGGUAACGGCUCACCAAGGCGACGAUACAUAGCCGACCUGAGAGGGGGAUCGGCCACACUGGGACUGAGACACGGCCCAGACUCCUACGGGAGGCAGCAGUAGGGAAUCUUCGGCAAUGGACGGAAGUCUGACCGAGCAACGCCGCGUGAGUGAAGAAGGUUUUCGGAUCGUAAAACUCUGUUGUAAGAGAAGAACGAGUGUGAGAGUGGAAAGUUCACACAGUGACGGUAACUUACCAGAAAGGGACGGCUAACUACGUG